CAGUCGAACGACUCUGGUAUUGAUUGGUGCUUGCAUCAUGAUUUACAUUUGAGUGAGUGGCGAACUGGUGAGUAACACGUGGGAAACCUGCCCAGAAGCGGGGGAUAACACCUGGAAACAGAUGCUAAUACCGCAUAACAACUUGGACCGCAUGGUCCGAGUUUGAAAGAUGGCUUCGGCUAUCACUUUUGGAUGGUCCCGCGGCGUAUUAGCUAGAUGGUGAGGUAACGGCUCACCAUGGCAAUGAUACGUAGCCGACCUGAGAGGGUAAUCGGCCACAUUGGGACUGAGACACGGCCCAAACUCCUACGGGAGGCAGCAGUAGGGAAUCUUCCACAAUGGACGAAAGUCUGAUGGAGCAACGCCGCGUGAGUGAAGAAGGGUUUCGGCUCGUAAAACUCUGUUGUUAAAGAAGAACAUAUCUGAGAGUAACUGUUCAGGUAUUGACGGUAUUUAACCAGAAAGCCACGGCUAACUACGUGCCAGCAGCCGCGGUAAUACGUAGGUGGCAAGCGUUGUCCGGAUUUAUUGGGCGUAAAGCGAGCGCAGGCGGUUUUUUAAGUCUGAUGUGAAAGCCUUCGGCUCAACCGAAGAAGUGCAUCGGAAACUGGGAAACUUGAGUGCAGAAGAGGACAGUGGAACUCCAUGUGUAGCGGUGAAAUGCGUAGAUAUAUGGAAGAACACCAGUGGCGAAGGCGGCUGUCUGGUCUGUAACUGACGCUGAGGCUCGAAAGUAUGGGUAGCAAACAGGAUUAGAUACCCUGGUAGUCCAUACCGUAAACGAUGAAUGCUAAGUGUUGGAGGGUUUCCGCCCUUCAGUGCUGCAGCUAACGCAUUAAGCAUUCCGCCUGGGGAGUACGGCCGCAAGGCUGAAACUCAAAGGAAUUGACGGGGGCCCGCACAAGCGGUGGAGCAUGUGGUUUAAUUCGAAGCUACGCGAAGAACCUUACCAGGUCUUGACAUACUAUGCAAAUCUAAGAGAUUAGACGUUCCCUUUGGGGACAUGGAUACAGGUGGUGCAUGGUUGUCGUCAGCUCGUGUCGUGAGAUGUUGGGUUAAGUCCCGCAACGAGCGCAACCCUUAUUAUCAGUUGCCAGCAUUAAGUUGGGCACUCUGGUGAGACUGCCGGUGACAAACCGGAGGAAGGUGGGGAUGACGUCAAAUCAUCAUGCCCCUUAUGACCUGGGCUACACACGUGCUACAAUGGAUGGUACAACGAGUUGCGAACUCGCGAGAGUAAGCUAAUCUCUUAAAGCCAUUCUCAGUUCGGAUUGUAGGCUGCAACUCGCCUACAUGAAGUCGGAAUCGCUAGUAAUCGCGGAUCAGCAUGCCGCGGUGAAUACGUUCCCGGGCCUUGUACACACCGCCCGUCACACCAUGAGAGUUUGUAACACCCAAAGUCGGUGG
rnacentral:rRNA from 1 species